rnacentral:rRNA from 1 species
CAGUCGCCGCGGGAAUACGUAGGGUGCAAGCGUUAAUCGGAAUUACUGGGCGUAAAGCGUGCGCAGGCGGUUUGUUAAGACAGAUGUGAAAUCCCCGGGCUCAACCUGGGAACUGCAUUUGUGACUGGCAAGCUAGAGUGUGGCAGAGGGGGGUGGAAUUCCGCGUGUAGCAGUGAAAUGCGUAGAUAUGCGGAGGAACACCGAUGGCGAAGGCAGCCCCCUGGGCCAACACUGACGCUCAUGCACGAAAGCGUGGGGAGCAAACAGGAUUAGAUACCCCUGUAGUCCCUGUCUCUUAUAC